GACAGCUUGGCCGAGUGGUUAAGGGCGAUGGACUUGAAAUCCAUUGGGGUAACCUGCGUGAGUUCAAAUCUCACAGCUGUCG
rnacentral:tRNA from 1 species